CCGCGCGAAGGUAGCGUAAUCACUUGUUUUUUAAAUAAAGACUAGUAUGAAUGGCCCCACGAGGACUUAACUGUCUCCCUUGUCCAAUCAGUGAAACUGAUCUCCUCGUGCAGAAGCGAGGAUUUUCCCAUAAGACGAGAAGACCCUAUGGAGCUUCAAACUAAAAUCAACUAUUGUUCAUCUGCCCUCCAAGGACCCAAUAAAUAGCUAAAUAUGCUUGAUUUAAGUUUUAGGUUGGGGCGACCAUGGAGAAAAAGAAAUCCUCCCUGAUGACCACAAACUAAGAGCUACUACUCUAAGUAUUAAGACACUUAACUCUAAUUGACCCAUUUUAUGAUCAACGAACCAAGUUACCCUAGGGAUAACAGCGCAAUCCAUUUCAAGAGUCCUUAUCGACAAAUGGGUU
rnacentral:rRNA from 1 species